UACGGAGGGUGCGAGCGUUGUUCGGAAUCACUGGGCGUAAAGGGCGUGUAGGCGGUCCGCUAAGUCUGAUGUGAAAGCCCGGGGCUCACCCCCGGAAGUGCAUUGGAAACUGGCGGACUCGAGUCCCGGAGAGGAGAGUGGAAUUCCUGGUGUAGCGGUGGAAUGCGCAGAUAUCAGGAGGAACACCAAUAGCGAAGGCAGCUCGCUGGGACGUUACUGACACUGAGGCGCGAAAGCGUGGGGAGCGAACAGG
rnacentral:rRNA from 1 species